GGUGCUACGUUAUUCUCGGCAUUUCAGGGGCGUUUUUGAAAUAUUUCUUAAGUUAACAAGGGAAACCAGAUGUUAUCAUAAAACACCCACCCCGUCAAGCUAAAUCAACAGAGACCGAUUGAUCAGUUGGUCUGUGGAACUGGGUGGGAGUUGGGUAAAAUUGGCAGGUAAGCCAGGUGUGGUUAAUGUCUCCAACUCACCACCCCGAAGUUGUAGACAGAGGGCUCUUCUGAGGUGAGUUAGAGCAGGCAACAGGCUCUCCCUGCAUGUGAGGAGAUCCCUGAGUAGGGUGAUAAUAGACUUUGAAGCUCACCGCAGCUUCUGUUCCUUCCAGAAGCCAAUGGCAUGUCAUGUAGGCAGAUGAGUGCCCAAGCCUUACCAUGCCCUGGCUAUCUUUCUUGGCAGAACCCCAGUGGGAAACACAUUGUCCAAACAUGGAAACUGCCAGCAUCUCUUCGCCAAUGCCUUUAUUUAAAAACCCAGUAUUUUCUUUAAAUCAGUAGUAGCUAUGGUUCCUUUGACUCCUGUUGGCUCUCUGUCGCUAACACAUGGGUAUAAGGCAUCCUUCAGCUUGGUUCUGGUCAGGUACUUGUUGGUUCUGUCUUGGCAGGAGGGCCUAGGUUCCCAAGAAGACCAGCCCGGAGCUUCUCUGCUUACUGGGAUUACAGUCCAGUGUUGCAGGGACCGAGAUCACUGCAGGAGGCCCAUAGCCUGUGGUUAGCUGCAAACCCAUCUUAGAGUCCCCUCAAGUCUAUUAAGGGAGCCUAUAGACUGCUACCCGGGGAAGAAAUCAGGAAGUGUUUGGCUGUGAACUGUGAGAAGAAGUGACUCUCUGUGAAGAUGUGACCUAAUGGGGAAGGUAAUCCGAGAGCAGGGCUGGCAUGCUCAGUGGUUUGCAACACCGGCACUUGGGACACUGAAGAAGGAAGACACCAAGCCCGAAGUCCUGUUAGGAUGUAACCGUUUGUCUGCAUGUACAUCGCUGGCUCCGGCUGCAGGGAAUGUAUUGCCUUCUCUGGCCUCUACAGGCAAGCAGGCACAGACAUAUUUGAGAGAUUUUGACACGUUUAGGAGGUAGAGCCUAAAUGAAGAAACUGGGUUGUUGGGAGAAGACCUUGAACUGAAACCCAGCCCCACUGCCUGUCCCCCUUUGCCUUCUCUUCCUACCAAGAUGUGAACAAGCAGCCUCCCCUCUGCUGCUGCUACAGCCACAAGCUGCUUCAACCGCCAUGCUUUCCCUUCAUAGAUGGACAGAACUCUCACACCGUGAGCCAAAACAGACCUGCCUCUCUUUGGCUGCUUAUUUUCAGGUUGUCGAGAAACGAACAAUGAGAAAAGUGGCUAACGUAAUAGGUAAAAAUCUACUAGAGACCGAGUGCCCUUAAUCAGAAAACACAAACCCCUGGCACUCCAAAGUCUGACCCUUUUGAGCAUCGUUGGCACACUACAAGUAGAAAACACCACACCUGACGACACAUGAGAGGCCACAGACGAAUCACAAACACAGACCUGCUAAAAUGAUGUAUAAAAUUGUCUUUAGGCUAUGUGUAUGAGGUAAGUAUGAAACGUAAUUUGAAUUUUGUGUUUUGACUUGGAUCCCUUGUACCCACAACCUAUCUUACUAUGCGAGCCCAGAUUUUUCCCAAGUUCCAAACCAAAACCAAACCUCAACCACAGUGGUCCUGAGCAUUCUGACUAAGGGAUGCCCAACCUGUAAGUUGUUUACUGCCACGGGGCAGUCGAUGCAUUUUAGAGCCUACUCACCACUUGGCCGAAACAUUUCUAAUAACCAAGCCCCAGGAAUUUCAUGUGGGCUUCCACGCGGACAGAGUGGGAGUAGGGGCCGACUGUUUGAAGCAAUGCCAUGUUUCUAGCUAAGGUCUGCGUGAGCUUUUGUGUUUUGUUAUCACUAUGGCAAAACACAGAAGAUAAUCGACUGCUUGAAAGGACUUAUUUCCUUUCAUAGUUUCCCAGGAAAAACAUAGCUAUGAUCUCCCUGUUAAUAUUUUCAGUGGUUGCGGUCUCUAUUGCUCUGGGCAGGUGAAGGUAACAGUUGGUGGCAGUGGGGGGGGGGAGGGGAGGAGAGAAACAAUUUUCCUUCUGUAACGCUAACAGAGGCAGAGACGAGUGAAAGCAGCACAAGGUCAAAGGUCAAAGGUCAUACCCCCACGCUAGUGCUAGGCCAGCGCUAGACCACUCAUCCUCAGCCUUCUAGAUUGUGAGCUGAGCCUGGUGGUUCAGGCCAGGAAUCUCGGCACUUGGGAGACUAAGGCAGGAGAGUCACUGCGAGUUUGAGGUCAGUCUGGGCUACAGAAUGAGACCCUGUUUUUAAAAAAGAAAAUUUUUUUUAUCAAUGCCGUGUACUUAAUUAUAUAAAGAGUUUGUUGUUGUUGUUGUUGUUGUUGUUGGGAUCCAGCAAGGAACUUUCCAUCUGUCUGGUGUUAAUUAGUUGUUUUUAAACACUAAUUUGGGACAUGGUGCAUUUUGGUUGUUUUAUAAAUAGAGUAAAAAAAAAAAAACCCACUGAAACUGUUGGGAAAAUUUAAACAAGUAAAGCAAUUCCAUGUCCCUGCUUGACACCAGUUUGUCCCAGAGGUGACACAACUGUAUAGUUUUUGACAACACCUGAAAUUUAUAUAUAUGAGACGAAAUCCUACUGGCUAACUUGGAACUCACGAUGUAAACCAAACUGGGCUUGAACACACAGAGGUGUGCCUCUGCCUCCUGAGUGUGGGGCUAAUGGCAUACACCCCAAUACCAGGCCUUCUCACAGUACUCUCUCCAAGGGAGAAAAUCCUUUCAGAAGUAACUGUCUUCAUUUAUUAAUAGGGUUGCUCCCUGAACCUGGUGUGUGUGUGUGUGUGUGUGUGUGUGUGUAUGCGUGUGUGGGGGUGUGUUUGUGUGCGUGCGCAAGUAUUUAAAUACCAAUUGGCACAGACCCCAGCAGUUAAGGGCUUCCUUCAACUUCCUACUUAAGUGGCCAGUCACAAGUCUGGGCCUCUCGUACUUGUAAACAACUGGCUGUAAAGUAGGGGUUCCCAUGAUCUCUUCAAAACCAUAAUUUAUCACACUGGUUCUCAGCCUGUGGGUCAUGACCCUUUUGGGAGGGUUAAACAACCAUUUCAUAGGGCUCACAUAUCAGAUAUCCUUUCAUAUCAGAUAUUUACAUUGCAAUUCAUAACAACAGCAAAAUGACAGUAAUAAAGUAGCCGUGAAAUAAUUGUAUGUUUGUAUGUUUGGGGUCACCACGACAGGAGGAACUGUAUUAAAGGGUUACAGCACUGGGGAGGUUGAGAACCGCUGAUUUAUUAGACUGGUUCAUGGAACUUGAAAAUUCUUUCUACUUUAAUCUAUUGGUUUAUUACCAAAGAUGUAGACAGAUAGACAGAUAGAUGAUAGGUAUACGCACACAUA